GCUUUCAAAUAUCACUGUUGCUAAGGGAAAAAUCACUACUGUUUCCUCCUCAGCUUUCUCUUUGCUGCUCUCCCCCUUGUCAGUGAGGAUUAGGCUUGACUGCAGCUGAUUUUGCUGUCUCACUCCCUGCAAUGGGGUGCCAAGCAUUCCACAGUGACACAGCAGCUUUUCCCCUGUCCCUCCAUUUCCCUUGGCUGCUCCAACUCCCCCAAAGCCACGGGGCUGCAGAUUUUCAGCGAUGCAGGUUAGAGGUUUGGCCCACCCCAAGUCCCCGAAUAGGCAAUGAAGAGAGAGGGACUCCUGGCUGGAAUCUGCAAAAGUGAAUACAAAUAACUGCAGCCUUCAGCGCCUUUGAAGGAGAUGGCCUUGCUGCUCUUCUAUUGCUCUUUUACGGACUGCCUUGACAGAUGAAAGUUAUCUCUACCAAUGAAACAAUCUUGG
rnacentral:lncRNA from 1 species